rnacentral:rRNA from 1 species
GAUGAACGCUGGCGGCGUGCCUAAUACAUGCAAGUCGAGCGAACAGACGAGGAGCUUGCUCCUUUGACGUUAGCGGCGGACGGGUGAGUAACACGUAGGUAACCUACCUAUAAGACUGGGAUAACUUCGGGAAACCGGAGCUAAUACCGGAUAAUAUUUCGAACCGCAUGGUUCGAUAGUGAAAGAUGGCUUUGCUAUCACUUAUAGAUGGACCUGCGCCGUAUUAGCUAGUUGGUAAGGUAACGGCUUACCAAGGCAACGAUACGUAGCCGACCUGAGAGGGUGAUCGGCCACACUGGAACUGAGACACGGUCCAGACUCCUACGGGAGGCAGCAGUAGGGAAUCUUCCGCAAUGGGCGAAAGCCUGACGGAGCAACGCCGCGUGAGUGAUGAAAGUCUUCGGAUCGUAAAACUCUGUUAUUAGGGAAGAACAAACGUGUAAGUAACUGUGCACGUCUUGACGGUACCUAAUCAGAAAGCCACGGCUAACUACGUG